AUUUCUAUGGUGUAAUCAACACUUAAUAUUUUCAUUAUUAAAAUGGGUAAUUUUUCCCUAGAAAUA